GAAUUUUGGGCAAUGGCCGCAAGGCUGACCCAGCGACGCCGCGUGCGGGAGGAAGCCUUUCGGGGUGUAAACCGCUGUCAGGGGGGACGAACCUUCAUACCUCGAACAGGGGUGUGAGCUGACGGUACCUCCAGAGGACGCGCCGGCUAACUCCGUGCCAGCAGCCGCGGUAAGACGGAGGGCGCGAGCGUUGUUCGGAAUCACUGGGCGUAAAGCGCGCGCAGGCGGGACCAGCAAGUCGGAAGUGAAAUCCCGGGGCUCAACUCCGGGGCUGCUUCCGAGACUGCGGACCUGGGGACCGGUAGAGGCCGGUGGAAUUCCCGGUGUAGCGGUGGAAUGCGUAGAGAGCGGGAAGAACACCCGUGGCGAAGGCGGCCGGCUGGGCCGGAUCCGACGCUGAGGCGCGAAAGCGUGGGGAGCAAACAGG
rnacentral:rRNA from 1 species